rnacentral:lncRNA from 1 species
CAAGUUCAACACAUGAGGUUAUUGAAUAUCUCUUCUCCGAAGAAAAUGUUUCAUAUGGUGGACCGAUGAUGUCGACAGUCAGACUUGCAAGGCUGAGGGAAUUUGCAGCGAGUCUGAAGUCAAUCGUUGGAGAUGUGGUGGAUUGCAUCAAUGGUAAGAGGCAUAAGGGCUCAAUCAGCAGCAUAAUUGAUGCUGCAGAUGUUAGUUCAU